rnacentral:rRNA from 1 species
UACGAAGGGGGCUAGCGUUGCUCGGAAUCACUGGGCGUAAAGGGUGCGUAGGCGGGUCUUUAAGUCAGGGGUGAAAUCCCAAGGCUCAACCUUGGAACUGCCUUUGAUACUGGAAAUCUUGAGUCCGGGAGAGGUGAGUGGAACUGCGAGUGUAGAGGUGAAAUUCGUAGAUAUUCGCAAGAACACCAGUGGCGAAGGCGGCUCACUGGCCCGGUACUGACGCUGAGGUGCGAAAGCGUGGGGAGCAAACAGG